GGCCCGUGAUUGGCUGUGGAGCAGAUUGAUUACUACUAACCAUCUGAUUGCCAAAGCCUUACCACGCCCCCCACAAAUUAGCCCUGUUAUUUAGUAGCGCUUUGCCGUAUAUUCCAUGCAUCAUCAUGGAAUCAUUCUCAUUAAUAUUAUUAACAAAAUUGCGCGUUCGCGUUAUGAUUGGUCAGGUCGCAUGUCAAUCAAACCCCCGUGGGCAGCAGGGCACGGUGAAUUGAAACGUCACGUUUGAAUUUGAUAUACCAAAUCAAAUGCAUUUAUUUUAUAUACAACAAUUCAGCUUAGGCCUAUCAGGCGAUGGCUGUCUGCGCCUUAUUAGAAUAUAGCCCACACAUCAACCAAUCAAUCGCCUCCACUCUUCACUUCAUUCUAGACUAUUCUUAAAAUUGCCACGCAAAAAACAGUCCUCGACAGCUAAAAAUGUCAUCUUAAAAAAAAAAAUGUGCGAGUGGGGCUCCAGAAAUGAAUUUUUUAAAGCUAAACAGCAGAGGAAACAUGAGCUACUCAGUAAAAUCCCAAAACUAUCGGGUUAUUUUACUAAAGCUGAUGAUCACGGAGUGGUGGAUGUUGGAGCUGAUGAUAAAGACACAGCGUCAUCAUCGACCACACCAAUUUCAGCUCUCUAAUGCUACAGACAUCUGCUGUCUUACCUGUAUGGACACACAUACAGGAUUUGAUGGUCCGGAUGAGAAGCCUCUGCUGGAUCUUCUCGCCAGCAGAAACCUUUCAUGAAACAUCCGCUGUUACAGGCAGCAUGAAGUGGUGCAGAUGGUGAAGGCAUGGAUUGUCCAGCAGGUGGCGCCGUUGCUCUACGCAGAUUUAUCUCUGUAAGACCCCCACGGUAAAAUGAUUCUUUAGGGGCCCAUACAGAGG